UACAGAGGGGGCGAGCGUUAUUCGGAAUUAUUGGGCGUAAAGGGCGCGUAGGCGGCCUUUCAAGUGACGGGUGAAAUCCCUCGGCUUAACCGAGGAACUGCCUGUCAGACUGGAAGGCUUGAGACCGGGAGAGGUGAGUGGAAUUCCCAGUGUAGCGGUGAAAUGCGUAGAUAUUCGGAAGAACACCAGUGGCGAAGGCGGCUCACUGGACCGGCAUUGACGCUGAGGUGCGAAAGCGUGGGGAGCAAACA
rnacentral:rRNA from 1 species